UACGUAGGUGACAAGCGUUGUCCGGAUUUACUGGGCGUAAAGAGCGCGCAGGCGGUCGUUCAAGUCGAGUGUGAAAGCCCCCGGCUCAACUGGGGAGGGUCACUCGAUACUGAUCGACUCGAAGGCAGGAGAGGGAAGUGGAAUUCCCGGUGUAGUGGUGAAAUGCGUAGAUAUCGGGAGGAACACCAGUGGCGAAGGCGGCUUUCUGGCCUGCUCUUGACGCUGAGGCGCGAAAGCCAGGGGAGCAAACGGG
rnacentral:rRNA from 1 species